rnacentral:lncRNA from 1 species
AAAAAUAUUUUGAUUCACUCUUUAAUUUUCAUGGAGAUUGAUAUUGAACAUCAAAUUGUUUGAUCGAUCGCUUUGUGGGGUGAAAGAGGGUGAAACUCACUGACAAUGAAUAAAAUUAGGGUUUUAAGAAAAUUUAUAUAAAAGGACAAUUUUGGUAUUAUAAAUUUUUUUUAAGAAAAUUUGGGUGUAACCAGAAAAAUAUGGGGUGUAAAUAGAAAAACUCA